rnacentral:tRNA from 1 species
CGCGCCGAGCAGGUGCUCGGGAUGACGCCGUCGGCCUACCGCGCCGGCGGGGCGGCCACGGCGAUCCGCUUCGCCGUCGGCGAGU